rfam:Gossypium hirsutum cultivar TM-1 chromosome 20, whole genome shotgun sequence
AUACCUUUCUCGGCCUUUUGGCUAAGAUCAAGUGUAGUAUCUGUUCUUGUCAGUUUAAUAUCUGAUACGUGGGCCAUUGGCUCACAUGAUAUUAAAUUUAUUUUUGAAGGGGGAGAGUCCAUCACAAUAGCUUGCUACUGGGUCUCUCGGGCGUCGCCCAGGCUUUGCACUAUAGCUCGGGCCUGGCGCACUCCAC